rnacentral:tRNA from 1 species
GGAUGGGUGGCCGAGUGGUUUAAGGCGCACGCCUGGAAAGCGUGUGGGGGUGAAAGCCUCUCGCGAGUUCGAAUCUCGCCUCAUCCG